rnacentral:sRNA from 1 species
UGGCGAUGCCUUUCAGGCAUCCUCUCUUACAAACUUCGGGCCGGCCCUACGCGCCGGCCCUUUUUGUGCGGGUC